GGUUAAGCGACUAAGCGUACACGGUGGAUGCCCUGGCAGUCAGAGGCGAUGAAGGACGUGCUAAUCUGCGAAAAGCGUCGGUAAGGUGAUAUGAACCGUUAUAACCGGCGAUGUCCGAAUGGGGAAACCCAGUGCAAUUCGUUGCACUAUCGUUAACUGAAUACAUAGGUUAACGAGGCGAACCGGGGGAACUGAAACAUCUAAGUACCCCGAGGAAAAGAAAUCAACCGAGAUUCCCCCAGUAGCGGCGAGCGAACGGGGAGCAGCCCAGAGUCUGAAUCAGCUUGUGUGUUAGUGGAACGGUCUGGAAAGUCCGACGGUACAGGGUGAUAGUCCCGUACACCAAAAUGCACAGGCUGUGAACUCGAAGAGUAGGGCGGGACACGUGGUAUCCUGUCUGAAUAUGGGGGGACCAUCCUCCAAGGCUAAAUACUCCUGACUGACCGAUAGUGAACCAGUACCGUGAGGGAAAGGCGAAAAGAACCCCGGCGAGGGGAGUGAAAAAGAACCUGAAACCGUGUACGUACAAGCAGUGGGAGCACCUUAGGGUGUGACUGCGUACCUUUUGUAUAAUGGGUCAGCGACUUAUAUUCUGUAGCAAGGUUAACCGUAUAGGGGAGCCGCAGGGAAACCGAGUCUUAACUGGGCGUUAAGUUGCAGGGUAUAGACCCGAAACCCGGUGAUCUAGCCAUGGGCAGGUUGAAGGUUGGGUAACACUAACUGGAGGACCGAACCGACUAAUGUUGAAAAAUUAGCGGAUGACUUGUGGCUGGGGGUGAAAGGCCAAUCAAACCGGGAGAUAGCUGGUUCUCCCCGAAAGCUAUUUAGGUAGCGCCUCGUGAAUUCAUCUUCGGGGGUAGAGCACUGUUUCGGCUAGGGGGUCAUCCCGACUUACCAACCCGAUGCAAACUACGAAUACCGAAGAAUGUUAUCACGGGAGACACACGGCGGGUGCUAACGUCCGUCGUGAAGAGGGAAACAACCCAGACCGCCAGCUAAGGUCCCAAAGUCAUGGUUAAGUGGGAAACGAUGUGGGAAGGCACAGACAGCCAGGAUGUUGGCUUAGAAGCAGCCAUCAUUUAAAGAAAGCGUAAUAGCUCACUGGUCGAGUCGGCCUGCGCGGAAGAUGUAACGGGGCUAAACCAUGCACCGAAGCUGCGGCAGCGACACUAUGUGUUGUUGGGUAGGGGAGCGUUCUGUAAGCCUGCGAAGGUGUGCUGUGAGGCAUGCUGGAGGUAUCAGAAGUGCGAAUGCUGACAUAAGUAACGAUAAAGCGGGUGAAAAGCCCGCUCGCCGGAAGACCAAGGGUUCCUGUCCAACGUUAAUCGGGGCAGGGUGAGUCGACCCCUAAGGCGAGGCCGAAAGGCGUAGUCGAUGGGAAACAGGUUAAUAUUCCUGUACUUGGUGUUACUGCGAAGGGGGGACGGAGAAGGCUAUGUUAGCCGGGCGACGGUUGUCCCGGUUUAAGCAUGUAGGCUGGUUGUCCAGGCAAAUCCGGAUAAUCAAGGCUGAGGUGUGAUGACGAGGCACUACGGUGCUGAAGUAACAAAUGCCCUGCUUCCAGGAAAAGCCUCUAAGCAUCAGGUAACAUUAAAUCGUACCCCAAACCGACACAGGUGGUCAGGUAGAGAAUACCAAGGCGCUUGAGAGAACUCGGGUGAAGGAACUAGGCAAAAUGGUGCCGUAACUUCGGGAGAAGGCACGCUGGUGUGUAGGUGAAGUCCCUGCGGAUGGAGCUGAGACCAGUCGAAGAUACCAGCUGGCUGCAACUGUUUAUUAAAAACACAGCACUGUGCAAACACGAAAGUGGACGUAUACGGUGUGACGCCUGCCCGGUGCCGGAAGGUUAAUUGAUGGGGUUAUCCGUAAGGAGAAGCUCUUGAUCGAAGCCCCGGUAAACGGCGGCCGUAACUAUAACGGUCCUAAGGUAGCGAAAUUCCUUGUCGGGUAAGUUCCGACCUGCACGAAUGGCGUAAUGAUGGCCAGGCUGUCUCCACCCGAGACUCAGUGAAAUUGAACUCGCUGUGAAGAUGCAGUGUACCCGCGGCAAGACGGAAAGACCCCGUGAACCUUUACUAUAGCUUGACACUGAACAUUGAGCCUUGAUGUGUAGGAUAGGUGGGAGGCUUUGAAGCGUGGACGCCAGUCUGCGUGGAGCCAACCUUGAAAUACCACCCUUUAAUGUUUGAUGUUCUAACGUUGGCCCCUUACCGGGGUUGCGGACAGUGUCUGGUGGGUAGUUUGACUGGGGCGGUCUCCUCCCAAAGCGUAACGGAGGAGCACGAAGGUUAGCUAAUCCUGGUCGGACAUCAGGAGGUUAGUGCAAUGGCAUAAGCUAGCUUGACUGCGAGCGUGACGGCGCGAGCAGGUGCGAAAGCAGGUCAUAGUGAUCCGGUGGUUCUGAAUGGAAGGGCCAUCGCUCAACGGAUAAAAGGUACUCCGGGGAUAACAGGCUGAUACCGCCCAAGAGUUCAUAUCGACGGCGGUGUUUGGCACCUCGAUGUCGGCUCAUCACAUCCUGGGGCUGAAGUAGGUCCCAAGGGUAUGGCUGUUCGCCAUUUAAAGUGGUACGCGAGCUGGGUUUAGAACGUCGUGAGACAGUUCGGUCCCUAUCUGCCGUGGGCGCUGGAGAAUUGAGGGGGGCUGCUCCUAGUACGAGAGGACCGGAGUGGACGCAUCACUGGUGUUCGGGUUGUCAUGCCAAUGGCACUGCCCGGUAGCUAAAUGCGGAAGAGAUAAGUGCUGAAAGCAUCUAAGCACGAAACUUGCCCCGAGAUGAGUUCUCCCUGAGACUUUAAGUCUCCUGAAGGAACGUUGAAGACGACGACGUUGAUAGGCCGGGUGUGUAAGCGCAGCGAUGCGUUGAGCUAACCGGUACUAAUGAACCGUGAGGCUUAACCUU
rnacentral:rRNA from 1 species